rnacentral:rRNA from 1 species
AUUGAACGCUGGCGGCAGGCCUAACACAUGCAAGUCGAGCGGCAGCGGGAAAGUAGCUUGCUACUUUUGCCGGCGAGCGGCGGACGGGUGAGUAAUGCCUGGGAAAUUGCCCAGUCGAGGGGGAUAACAGUUGGAAACGACUGCUAAUACCGCAUACGCCCUACGGGGGAAAGCAGGGGACCUUCUGGCCUUGCGCGGGUGGAUAUGCCCUGGUGGGAUUAGCUAGUUGGUGAGGUAAUGGCUCAACAAGGCGACGAUCCCUAGCUGGUCUGAGAGGAUGAUCAGCCACACUGGAACUGAGACACGGUCCAGACUCCUACGGGAGGCAGCAGUGGGGAAUAUUGCACAAUGGGGGAAACCCUGAUGCAGCCAUGCCGCGUGUGUGAAGAAGGCCUUCGGGUUGUAAAGCACUUUCAGCGAGGAGGAAAGGUCAGUAGCUAAUACCUGCUGGCUGUGACGUUACUCGCAGAAGAAGCACCGGCUAACUCCGUGCCAGCCGCCGCGGUAACAC